GAGGGUGUAGCUCAUUGGUAGAGUGCGUGCUUAGUAUGCGGGAGGUCCUGGGUUCAGUCUCCAGUACCUCCA
rnacentral:tRNA from 1 species